rnacentral:misc_RNA from 1 species
GCAUCGAUGAAGAACGCAGCCUGCAAAACGACCGUCUGGCACAGCAGGCAGAGGCACUGGAAAACCAGGGCAAAUGGGCGCAGGCGGCAGCACUUCAGCGGCAACGACUGGCGCUGGACCCCGGCAGUGUAUGGAUUACUUACCGACUUUCGCAGGAUCUCUGGCAGGCCGGACAACGCAGCCAGGCCGAUACGUUAAUGCGCAAUCUGGCGCAGCAGAAGCCGAAUGACCCGGAGCAGGUUUACGCUUACGGGCUGUAUCUCUCUGGUCAUGACCAGGACAGAGCGGCGCUGGCGCAUAUCAAUAAGCGGAGGAG